CCAUAGUAAUUGCAUACUAGUGGUAGUCUCAACUACUAAUAUAAAGUCUUACUUAAUGGUGGGUUUUCAGAUGAUGCUUGAUGGUUGAUUGAUUAAUUAAUUUUAAAAAAGCCUAUGGAGUAAAAAUACAUGUGAAUCAUUUUAACAAUGGUUUUACUUUAAAGCUCUUAAGAACUAAAAUUUACUUAUUAUAGAUUAUAAUUGUGAUUUUUUAUAUAAAACGAGUAUUGUUUUUGAUCAUCAGCCCAAGUAGAAAGAAAGUUGGUUUCAAUCACUCCCCCCCCAAAAAAAAGUAAACUAGACAAGGGAAACAUUCUUGAUACACUAGAAAGAGUCCUGAAUACCUCAUACCCUUUGGGAGCAGAUAAAGAAAUGCCAUUUCCCUUUUUUUAUGGUUCAUUCUCCAUGUACAUAAAUGAUCUAUUUGUCAUCACAUAGUGAUGGUGAUUCUUUACACAUAGUGUAUAUGUAAGUGUUAUUUACUGAUCAAAAAAGGGGGCUAUGAAAGUAUACCAUGUAUUAUUAUUAUGUGGAAUCUUUAAAGGUGCAUAUAUAUUGUUCCUUGACUAUAAAUCUCAAGCAGAAAAAUAAUAUUAAAUUUGGCCAUACUGCUGUUUCUAACAUUCCAGUAACCCCAGUGAAACAUUCCCUUUCAAUGGCAGAUUAUAAUGUUAUCAUAAAAUUCUAACCCAUAAGGUAGCCUCCUUACCUACGUUUUAUCAGCUGCCUUUCCCUUUGGAUUUAAGUUUUCUGUUGAUGAAUUACAAGGUAAUUUUUUCAGUUACCUCUUGUUCUGAUUAUCCUGUUAAAAGUGAGUAACUUAUUCAAUGCUAGAAAACCACACUAGCAUUCCUUUAAUUCUACGAUAUAAUCCUUAAUUUGAAAUGAAGUUUGAUUGUUUUAACUACAAAACAUAAAGGAGCCUUCACUACAUCAAGACCUUUAAUGGAAACUAAUGGAAUUUUUGGCAUAAAAUAGUCGAAUUAAUUAGAUCGAGCAAUGCACACUGUUUAACAGCUAGCCUGCCAUUUUACACUGAUUUGAAGUCGUACAUACUUAACAAAAGACAUUGGGUUGAUUGCACAAAGGAGUUGAACACUCUUUUCACAUUCAUUGUGUAAGUUAUUAUCCACUGUGAAAAGAUUAUUGACUUUUUUAAAGGAGAUAUUAUGGAGAGAAAUGAUUGCUACCAGGAUGACUAGUAGAAUUAUGUAUGAGAUAAGUAAUAACUCUAAUUUCUCAUCUGCUGAAUAAAUGGCUUUAAUUUUAAAAUACUAGUUAGUGCAUAUGAGAUUUCUGCUGAAUUGAGCAGAAUUAUCAAAGCUGGGUUUGAAAUGUAGUGGACACUGAAGGUGAAGUAUAAAACAAAACCUUUGAUGUAUAAUUUAGCCUAUUUGGUGAUUUUAUAUCCUAAAUCGUUAGUUAUGCUUCUUGUAUUUUAUUUCUUCCUGAAGGUUGAUCUGAAAAAAAAAACUGCAUGUAUAUGUCUUAUCCUGGAUUUAUUUUAGUAGAGUGUAUAAAAUGCCCAUGUCCCUGGUUCUUAUAUAAAAGUUUAUCAAACUUAUUGAUAAUUGAUGGAAGUUUAGUUGGUCUGCAUAAAAGAUCAAUUACCUCCAUGUAGAUGUAAGAGUCUAAAAGUUUCUUCUGUAUUCUCCCUAUAGUGUUUCUUUCUCAGAAUUGUGAUUUUCUGUAACAGGGUGCCUCAACCUUGUGUGAUCAUUGUAAAUAUCUGAAAAACUUAUAAAAUACAGAUGUGCAACAUGAUCAGUGACCAAUCAAUUACUUCUUUGAAAGCCUGUCAGGGUUUGGUCACCACAUACCUGGUGUUCUGUAUACACGCAGACAGCAACAGCAGCACAGAUUUUUGUAUUGACUUCUCAUCUCCGGUGAUAUCCUGUGGCACUUGCAAAAAUGAUCAUGGAAGGGGGGAAUUGACCGACAAAGAUGAAAGUGCAGCAGAAAAUGAAAGGUGAUAACACUGGAAGUGAAACAAAUUAAAUGGAAAUGAAGUUAUAGAAGAAAUAGUUCACCCUGGGAAUGGUGACACUGUCACCACUCAAGAGAUUCCAGAUAUGCAGCUAGAGGAACUUAGAAGGUGACUUAUCAACAUAAAUUAGGAAGAUGGUUAUGAUGAAAAGGAUGAAGAUAUCCCAGAGGAAGUGCUUUGACAAAUACUUGACAUUAAAGGAAUUCUCAGAGAUAUUUCACGACAUUGAAAGUAUGAAAGAUAAAAUGGUGGAAGCUGAUCCAAACUUAGAGAAGAGUAUGAUGUUUCACCAAGACGUAGCAAAAAUACUCACUGCGUAUCACACAUUAUAUGAUGAGAAGAAGGCAACCACUGUUUAAACUACUCUAAAGAAGUAUUUAUAUUUUUUACAAAGACAUAAUAUAUUUCAGUUCUUGAAGUUGCUGCUGUGGCACAGUGGGAACUCCUUAAAUUAGUAUUUUAAAUGAAAUCACUGUUAUUUUUAAUUCCCUAUACACUUAUAACUGAGAAUAAGAGAGUUUUUAACAUUUUGACCAAAAUUUUGUAGUUAUAGAAAUAUAUUUUCCCAUUAAUAUUAUAAUUUCUUUGCAUAGUUUCAGCUUGCUCAGUCUUGCCCUAAGUGCAAAGUGAAGAUUGCCUGUAUCUCAUUAGGAAUGGUUCAUUAACUAAAUAGAUGAAUAAAUGGUAAAUUAUCUGGGAGAGAAUGUUAAUGGUAGCAUCUUUAAGUACUUCUUAAAUCAUACUGUAGUCUACCCACCCACUCCACCUUCAGGCUGGUAUUCUAUAAAUGAUGAACAUAGCUCCUAUUUACUUUGUAGUAUUUCUCUGCUCUAGUCAUAAUCUCUUCUUUUGAUCUCACAGUAUAAUGUCUCUUUUCACCACAAGCUCUUGUCUUUCUUUCGUUUCGCUACCUCUCC
rnacentral:lncRNA from 1 species